UACGGGGGGGGCAAGCGUUGUUCGGAAUUACUGGGCGUAAAGGGCUCGUAGGCGGCCAACUAAGUCAGACGUGAAAUCCCUCGGCUUAACCGGGGAACUGCGUCUGAUACUGGAUGGCUUGAGAUUGGGAGAGGGAUGCGGAAUUCCAGGUGUAGCGGUGAAAUGCGUAGAUAUCUGGAGGAACACCGGUGGCGAAGGCGGCAUCCUGGACCAACACUGACGCUGAGGAGCGAAAGCUAGGGGAGCAAACAGG
rnacentral:rRNA from 1 species